AACAAAUGCUGAGAAGGAGCCUCUGCUGCCUGGGUACGUGAAUGACCACGGUGAACAGAGGGCUCAGUAAGGAACCCUGACGGACUGGUUUCAACUACUGUAGUGGGGGAAGACAAUCUGAUAUGAGAAAAAUGGAGACUUAAGGAAGAAAGAAGUUUUCCCCAUGAUGGCAUGAAGAAAAGCCACACAGUCCUCUGGCGGGAACCAUUAGAGGAAGGGACUAACAUUGUUCUCCCCUGAGUCUCUUCUUUGAGGCAGGGAGAAGACCCUGGAACAUCUGCAGGUGCAGAGAAA